GCGUGGUUGCCGGAACUGGUUAACGGCUCUGUCUGCAAAAUAGAUGUUUGUCGGUUCGAGUCCGACACCACGCUCCA
rnacentral:tRNA from 3 species